GACGAACGCUGGCGGCGUGCUUAACACAUGCAAGUCGAACGGAAAGGCCCUGCUUUUGUGGGGUGCUCGAGUGGCGAACGGGUGAGUAACACGUGAGUAACCUGCCCUUGACUUUGGGAUAACUUCAGGAAACUGGGGCUAAUACCGGAUAGGAGCUCCUGCUGCAUGGUGGGGGUUGGAAAGUUUCGGCGGUUGGGGAUGGACUCGCGGCUUAUCAGCUUGUUGGUGGGGUAGUGGCUUACCAAGGCUUUGACGGGUAGCCAGCCUGAGAGGGUGACCGGCCACAUUGGGACUGAGAUACGGCCCAGACUCCUACGGGAGGCAGCAGUGGGGAAUAUUGCACAAUGGGCGGAAGCCUGAUGCAGCAACGCCGCGUGCGGGAUGACGGCCUUCGGGUUGUAAACCGCUUUCGCCUGUGACGAAGCGUGAGUGACGGUAAUGGGUAAAGGAGCACCGGCUAACUACGUG
rnacentral:rRNA from 1 species